rnacentral:antisense_RNA from 1 species
UUUUCCUCGCUUGUACUACUCAAUUAUAAAACAAAUUAUUAACGAUAGCUUCUGAAUUUGGUACAUGGCAUCAUAGGUGAACAAAAAAAGCCACAGUUCAGAGCUGAUGGUCAGUCCGUCCCUAGUCCAGCUUCUAUAAAAGGAAGGCGGGUUUAGGUUUCAACUCUCUAUAGUUGAAUCUCCAUGAGUAAGAAGCAGAUGCCUUCCUUAUUUUCCCAGACUGCCCAAGAUUAUUCUCUCAUCAACACAAGGUAGAGGUUUGCCACCUCUACAUGAAUUCGCAACUCCACUCUGUGACUGGGUGGCACAUCAGUUCACUAAGAAGUUAAACUUUACAAAAUGACGUCCUCUUCCUCUUGCCGGUAUGGGCCUCUGGCAGUGUCACUGAUCAAUAGGACAUGGCAAAAGUAACUACCUGGAGAACUAAAACUAAGCAUAAUCUUGGCCUGAACUACUACGGUAAAGUUAGUACCUUUUAUUUCUGUUUAUGUAAACUUAUCAAUAAAUUAUUAAAGCACAAACUCUAUCACUUCUUGGAACUAAAGAUUUACAUCUAGAUAUAACAAUAGAAACCUACCUAUCCUGGAGUUAACUUUCUCAGAUUACUGCUCCUGACUUUUGCUGUUCUUUUCCUUUUGCAAGGGGGUGCCAACAAUGGAUGGAAGAGGCAAGGAGAUCUUACUUUAUAGGAAUUUCUCCAAGUUACAACGAGCAACUGACCAAAUCAUAUUCAACUACAGGUGAUGAGAGAGAGAGUACCUGACUUCAGACCACCUGGGAAGCACAAUGCUUAGUUAACAAGAAUAUCUGGAUUAAGCAGUGCCGAAGUGGCCGCACACCGAGUCAGGCCAAGGAAGCUCUUCUGUCAUUGCCGCCCAACUCUGUUCCACUUUGCAUGCAGACAUAUCAAAGACUGUGAUGAAGAUCAUGGUGGACAAGGAAGAAUGAAAAACUUUGUGAUGGGAUCUGGGCCUCUACAUUAGAGAAAGAACCUAACAAACCCCAUUUCUUUGGAUUCGUAAGGUGAGGCUGAGGAGGGCUUACUGGAGGUGGAGACGGAGAGCUGUGUUUCUGGGCUCAAAGCCAAGAAAAGGUUAAGAAGAGGGGCUUGCAUCAGUCAUAUAGAUUAAAAAGAGCAAGGCAUGAUAAUUACUAAAUUUAUAGUUUCAUGUUUUAACACAGAAGAGUCAGAGGGAAAACUGACAAUUUAAAAAGGGGCAUGGGAUGAGAAAAAGUCUAGGAGUUACUGAGAUGCCUGGUACUUAUCUAUGAAACUUCCAUCACUAGACCCUUUUGACCUACGAGAAUAGCAGUUUCUAUGGUUCAACCUAAUACACUGCAUGGGCUCAAAUAUAUAACAAUUAGAAUUGAGAGUAAUCAGAAUACCAAUAAUACCCCCCCUUCUGAAAAAGUAACAGCUCUUAGAUGAAGAGAGCUUCUUAAGAUCAGCGUUUAAGAGUCAAAGCACCUGUAAGGGAGACUUAACGACCCUUUCAAAUCAAGUGAGGGCGGAAGGGUGAGGGCAUAGUUCAAAGGAACAAGGCAGCUCCACCGGAAGGUGGCGAGUAAAAGCUGCACACUGUGGCAAAUCAGUAGCAAUGGGAAAGGGCAGGAGGGUACAGCCAAGAAUAGCUACAAACAACUGGUCACCUUCAAAGGAAACGCUGCAUAUGGGUGUCUGUGUAUAUGUACUAUACAUAUCAACCAAGCACACACAUAAAUAUUUAAUAUAUAAAAAAUAAAGUGCUUUCUAACAGGUCCCUGGGCAGGGACAUUAUAAAACAUUUCACAGAACUGCAAAACAAAAUUGAUACAAUCAAAGAACACUACAUCCAACACAAGUGAAAACAGCCAAACACAGUAUGUACAAUCUGGUGGGUGUCCCAGGACAAACGUCCUGUCAUAUACAUGGUAUAUACAUAUAUACUCUUUUACUCAAUAUAUUAUGACAAUAUAUAUUUUAAAAUUUUGUUAUAGACAAAAAAUAAAAAACCAAAACAAAAGACAACCCCUACAAAAACACGAUAAGGAUCAAGCAUGUGAGUCCUAGACUGACAGACAAAUCACUGCCUCCACCGGGAGUCCCAUUGCCACUGCUGGGGAAAAUGUGCCAGCGUUCCUUCCUUGGGUGCAGGGCCUCCACAUCCUCCAAGGCACUGUGGGCUGCGGCAGUAAAGUUGGCAUCACCAGUGGUGAGCAGGUCAAAGACACAGGACUGGAAAUAGAUGUCCUUCACUGGCAUCUUCUCAUGGCAUUGAGUGUUGGCAGUCUCCAGUGUGUAGCCAGGCCAGGCCUGCACCAAGGAGGUGCGAGGCAGGCUGUGUCCCAGGAUGGCAGACACCUGGCCCUGCCCGUCAUCGAUGCGUUCACUCAGGGGGCAGCCAUUCACGCACAGCUGCAGGUCCUGGCUCUCCUCGUAGGACAUGGCCAGGUCUUCAGGCAUACGGAUGGCAAGGGUCAGGUAGCGACCCACCUGCCGCACAAACACUGUGGUCCCUAUAUAGCGGGCGUGCAUCUCCACAUAGUGGCCACUCUCCCUCUCCACGAUACGCAGGCUCUUGGCAUCGCUGUCCCCACCACUGGUGGUGCCAUCCACAAAGGCGGCCGGCAGGUCAUCUGUCACAGCUUGGUAGACUUUCUGAUCUGUACACUCAUGGUGGGCUUUGAAGAUAAUAGUGAUCUGUGGGAAGGAGCAUGUACAAGGUUUAACAGAAUGGGAAGGAAGCAGAACGGGGCAACCCUCUGUAGCAAGAGCUCCCCGCCAUUUUGAAGCUGAAUGGCUUAAGGCGGAAUCUCCAAAAUGGACCCAACUGCUUGCACCUCAAAAAUGGAUGAUAUCACUUUCAGAAAAUAUUUUUUAAAGUCCUAUAUAUUUAGAACUAAAGUUUAAAUAAAUCUGUGCAUC